UACGUAGGUGGCAAGCGUUGUUCGGAAUUACUGGGCGUAAAGCGCACGUAGGCGGCUUUACAAGUCAGGGGUGAAAGCCCGGAGCUCAACUCCGGAAUUGCCCUUGAGACUGUAUCGCUUGAACACGGGAGAGGUGAGUGGAAUUCCGAGUGUAGAGGUGAAAUUCGUAGAUAUUCGGAAGAACACCAGUGGCGAAGGCGGCUCACUGGACCGUUGUUGACGCUGAGGUGCGAAAGCGUGGGGAGCAAACAGG
rnacentral:rRNA from 1 species